CAUGGUGGAACUAUUAAAGAAUUUCGGUCAUCGAUGGGGAUGCGUUCCAUUAGGUUGUUGGCGGGGUAACGGCCCACCAAGCCUUCGAUGGAUAGGGGUUCUGAGAGGAAGGUCCCCCACAUUGGAACUGAGACACGGUCCAAACUCCUACGGGAGGCAGCAGUGAGGAAUAUUGGUCAAUGGACGAGAGUCUGAACCAGCCAAGUAGCGUGAAGGAUGACUGCCCUAUGGGUUGUAAACUUCUUUUAUACGGGAAUAAAGUGAGGCACGUGUGCCUUUUUGUAUGUACCGUAUGAAUAAGGAUCGGCUAACUCCGUGCCAGCAGCCGCGGUAAUACGGAGGAUCCGAGCGUUAUCCGGAUUUAUUGGGUUUAAAGGGAGCGUAGGCGGACGCUUAAGUCAGUUGUGAAAGUUUGCGGCUCAACCGUAAAAUUGCAGUUGAUACUGGGUGUCUUGAGUACAGUAGAGGCAGGCGGAAUUCGUGGUGUAGCGGUGAAAUGCUUAGAUAUCACGAAGAACUCCGAUUGCGAAGGCAGCUUGCUGGACUGUAACUGACGCUGAUGCUCGAAAGUGUGGGUAUCAAACAGGAUUAGAUACCCUGGUAGUCCACACAGUAAACGAAGAAGGCUCGCUGUUUGCGAUAUACAGUAAGCGGCCAAG
rnacentral:rRNA from 1 species